CGGUACCGCGCUGCGUCGGGCGGUUCGCGUGGCGGAGCCCCGCGCGGCGCCCUCGGUGCUGCGGGGUUUGAGGGGCCCCGCCGUGCCCCGUUAAGGGAAGGUCACCUUUCCCCGGGGCAGGGCGGCCGCGGGGGAAGCGGUGCGGGGCGUCCUUCCCCGGGCUCCGCGGCGCCGCCCGGGCCGGGCGGCCUCGCCCCCGGUGUCGGCGGGGCGGGGAGGGGGGGUUGGGGCCGCGGCCCCAGCGCCGCUCCCGCACCGGGGGAUCCCGGUGGGGCGGGCGGGGCGGCGGUCGGGGCCUCCCCGCGACGGGCGGUGGCCGCCCCGGGGGUGACCUUCACUCCGGGAGCGGACUGGGCAGACUUUGACCCGCGGCCGCUCCCCGCCGCGGGCACGGAGCGGAGCAUCCCGGGCGGCGGAGGGCCGGGAGGGCGGCGGGGUGUCCCGGAGGGAGUGCAGGGAGCGGCUUUGCCGUGGGGCGGCGUGGGGGGAGCUGCCUCCGUUAGGGGGAGGGGGGAGUUGGUUUUACCGAGAGGAGAGACACUGGGGGAGGGGGGGUGACCCGGUUAUACCGGGAGAGGGGCACCGGCUGGGGGCACAGCGUUCUUUAUUAGCGGGGUGAGCUCCCACCGGGGCCCUUCCCAGAGCCGCUGGGGUCUGUCGGUGCUGAGGAGGGCUAGGUGGGAGCCCUGUUACCGACAGAGCCCCCCUCGUCGGUUCCCGGUGCCGGCGGGGCCCCCGGUGCCGGCGGGGCCGGUGACUUCAGCGGCGGGUGCUGAUUCACGGGCCGGCGGGGGUGGAGCAGGGCCGGGACCAGCUCGCUGGAAUCCGGACCAGAUGUACCCGGCACGCCAGGAAUGCUCGGCAUCCCCGCCGGGCCCCGCCGCCGCCGCUGCGCCCCGGCCACCGGCACCCACCGGGUCCGGCCUUCCCCGGGGCCGGCCGGGGUCCGCAGUGCCUGUGGGGUGCCGCUGCUGGGAGGAUGCUGUGGUGGUCCCCCGAGGUUUUUUCCCGUGUUUCCCGCUGCUAUCUGUCCCCCACCGUGCCCGGUUUCCCGGGAGGUUCCCCAAACUCCCUAGCAGCGCUGGGUGUUGUAGAAAAGGGAUUUUUUUCGCGGGUCAGGGGGGAAUCAAUGGGGUCCAACACAGCCCUGGCGUUGGCGUGCUCACCCUCUAACAAAACGACUCCGAAGGGGGCUGAGCUGGCCGAAAUUCCCCCGCCGGUAGCUCGGCAGCAGCUGCCUGACAAAGUGUCUUCCCCUGGCUCCCGUCCAGGUGGGACCCUGCCAGCGCUGAUGGAUGCCCGAGAAAUGGCCUUGGAUUUCCCUGCCUGUUUUCCCUGGUUUAGGGCUGGCUGCAGGUGCUGGAGCUCACGCACAACCUGCUUGUGGAGGAAUGGGGAGAGUUGAGGUUGGAGCUGCCUCUGGAUUUCCUUGGAUGGGGGGAUGUCCCUGGGGGGAGGACAGAGUGAUAGGUGCUGCCGUGCCACCCUGCUCCUGGCUAACCAGCACCAGUUCUUCAGUGGCAAGCUUUAUGUCCUUCUCCAGUAGCUAAAGCUGCCAGUUGAAGAACUGUUGAAUGUAGCCACUCUCUUCUCGUCACUGGGACCUUGGAUGCCAGCCAGAGCCGUGCCACGAGCCACUCUGCAGAGUCCCGUGGAUUGGAGGGCUGAGGAUGAGUCUGACCAGGAUGAAGAAAGUCUCCUCGGAGCCUCCAGACAGAGCCUUGGCUGGAGGAUUGUAGAGGCAGCUGUGCCAGCGGGGAUGCCAAACUCUGUCACCCCCUCAGUGGGGUGGCACCGAGCUGGGAGGAGGCCGAGAGAAGCAUUAAACGUUGUUUUCCUCA